AGACGUCUACAUUAGAUACCCCUGUAGUCCCAGCCGUAAACUAUGCGCGUUAGGUGUAUCGGUGACCACGAGUCACCGAGGUGCCGAAGGGAAACCGUGAAACGUGCCGCCUGGGAAGUACGGUCGCAAGGCUGAAACUUAAAGGAAUUGGCGGGGAGCACCACAACGGGUGGAGCCUGCGGUUUAAUUGGACUCAACGCCGGGAAGAUCACCGGAUAAGACAGCGGAAUGAUUGCCGGGCUGAAGACUCUGCAUGACUAGCUG
rnacentral:rRNA from 1 species